UACGUAUGGUGCAAGCGUUGUUCGGAAUUAUUGGGCGUAAAGGGUAUGUAGGCGGAUAUAUAAGUCAGAUGUGAAAUCUACGGGCUCAACUCGUAGUCUGCAUUUGAUACUGUGUAUCUAGAGUUUGGGAGAGGCAAUUGGAAUUCCUGGUGUAGCGGUGAAAUGCGUAGAUAUCAGGAGGAACACCAGUGGCGCAGGCGAAUUGCUGGCCUAAAACUGACGCUGAGAUACGAAAGCGUGGGGAGCGAACGGGAUUAGAUACCCCCGUAGUCC
rnacentral:rRNA from 1 species